rnacentral:rRNA from 1 species
GAUGAACGCUGGCGGCGUGCCUAAUACAUGCAAGUCGAGCGAACGGACGAGAAGCUUGCUUCUCUGAUGUUAGCGGCGGACGGGUGAGUAACACGUGGAUAACCUACCUAUAAGACUGGGAUAACUUCGGUAAACCGGAGCUAAUACCGGAUGAUAUUUUGAACCGCAUGGUUCAAAAGUGAAAGACGGUCUUGCUGUCACUUAUAGAUGGAUCCGCGCUGCAUUAGCUAGUUGGUAAGGUAACGGCUUACCAAGGCAACGAUGCAUAGCCGACCUGAGAGGGUGAUCGGCCACACUGGAACUGAGACACGGUCCAGACUCCUACGGGAGGCAGCAGUAGGGAAUCUUCCGCAAUGGGCGAAAGCCUGACGGAGCAACGCCGCGUGAGUGAUGAAGGUCUUCGGAUCGUAAAACUCUGUUAUUAGGGAAGAACAUAUGUGUAAGUAACUGUGCACAUCUUGACGGUACCUAAUCAGAAAGCCACGGCUAACUACGUG